AUGGGGUGGGGGGGGCAGCACCCAAACACCUGGGUGCUGCAGGGGGUGGGGGGCACCCACCUGCUUUCACCACUGCGGAGGGAUCCUGGUCCGUGUGUUUUUUCAGGCUGCAGGGGCGGGGGGGGCCUUAGGGGUGGGGUUAGGACCCCCCCCAAAAAAAAACAGCGGGGGAGGGGCUGGCCGGGGUGCGCUCGUCCUGUGUGUGGCUGGUUCGUGGCAGGAACCGAGCAUCCCCGGGACAGCCCCAAAGCCGGUCCCGGGAGGGGCGUCCCAGCACCGGCCGCUCCCCUUCCCCUCCCGUCCCCUCCCCGGGCCGAGAGCCGCCGGCGGGGCUCCCCCGCUCCCUCCCCUCACCUGCGGGACCGGGCCCCGGCCGCCUCCUUCGGGGCUUCGCCGCGGCGCUCGAGAACCGGGGCGGCGGCAGGGAGGGCGAGGGGGCGCGGGGGGCCCCCGGGAGCCCGAACAGAGAAACCGGAGGCGCGGUCGAGGUGGCGCUGGAGCGGCCGCGAGGCCUGCGGGGAGCGGGGCGCUGAGCGGCGGCAGCAGCGGGCGGCGGCACCGGGGGCGCGCAUCUGCGUGCGGAGGGAGCCGAGCCGCAGCGGGACGCGCCCGGCCAGCGAGGCCCUGACGGCGCCGCCGGGCCGAGCCUCGGGCCGCGCUCCCGGGCCCGGGCCCGGUCCGCUGAGGAUCGCGGCCAGCGCCGCCGGGUCCGCCCGGAACGGGGGCGUCCCGCGGGGCUCCGUGGCCCGGCUCUCCCCGCCGCCGGGGGGGCCGCGAGACGCCAUGGGGGCUCCGCACCCUGCGCCCGGCCCCGCCGGGACCCUUCUGCGGGCCCCGCGCCGCGCGCCGCCGGUUUCCAAACCAACGGCGGCGGGGAUUGGUCCCCGCGCGAUGCGGGGCCGGCCAAUAGGAGGCUUCCCGACGCCGGCGGCGCUGUCGGGAUUGGUCCGCGCCGCUCAAGCACCGCCCCCUAUCAGCCGCCCGCCAAGGAGCGGCCGACCACAGAGAGGAGGCGGCGGGCAGAGCGCCCCCCUGCGGACUGUGGGAUAG
rnacentral:lncRNA from 1 species